rnacentral:rRNA from 1 species
UAUUGCACAAUGGGGGGGACCCUGAUGCAGCGACGCCGCGUGGGUGAAGGAGCACCUCGGUGCGUAAAGCCCUAUCGGCAGGGAAGAAACAGACGGUACCUGACUAAGAAGCCCCGGCUAACUACGUGCCAGCAGCCGCGGUAAUACGUAGGGGGCAAGCGUUAUCCGGAUUCACUGGGUGUAAAGGGAGCGUAGACGGCGACGCAAGUCUGGAGUGAAAGCCCGGGGCCCAACCCCGGGACUGCUCUGGAAACUGCGUCGCUGGAGUACGGGAGGGGCAGGCGGAAUUCCUGGUGUAGCGGUGAAAUGCGUAGAUAUUAGGAGGAACACCAGUGGCGAAGGCGGCUUACUGGACUGUAAAUGACGCUGAGGCUCGAAAGCGUGGGGAGCAAACAGG